AAGGCCGGCAAUAAAGGGUGAUAGCCCCGUAUCUGAAACGGUAAGUGUUGUGAACUCGAAGAGUAGGGCGGGACACGUGUUAUCCUGUCUGAAUAUGGGGGGACCAUCCUCCAAGGCUAAAUACUCCUGACUGACCGAUAGUGAACCAGUACCGUGAGGGAAAGGCGAAAAGAACCCCGGCGAGGGGAGUGAAAUAGAACCUGAAACCGUGUACGUACAAGCAGUGGGAGCACCCGAAAGGGUGUGACUGCGUACCUUUUGUAUAAUGGGUCAGCGACUUAUAUUCUG
rnacentral:rRNA from 1 species